rnacentral:rRNA from 1 species
GAUGAACGCUGGCGGCGUGCCUAAUACAUGCAAGUCGAGCGAACGGACGAGAAGCUUGCUUCUCUGAUGUUAGCGGCGGACGGGUGAGUAACACGUGGAUAACCUACCUAUAAGACUGGGAUAACUUCGGGAAACCGGAGCUAAUACCGGAUAAUAUUUUGAACCGCAUGGUUCAAAAGUGAAAGACGGUCUUGCUGUCACUUAUAGAUGGAUCCGCGCUGCAUUAGCUAGUUGGUAAGGUAACGGCUUACCAAGGCAACGAUGCAUAGCCGACCUGAGAGGGUGAUCGGCCACACUGGAACUGAGACACGGUCCAGACUCCUACGGGAGGCAGCAGUAGGGAAUCUUCCGCAAUGGGCGAAAGCCUGACGGAGCAACGCCGCGUGAGUGAUGAAGGUCUUCGGAUCGUAAAACUCUGUUAUUAGGGAAGAACAUAUGUGUAAGUAACUGUGCACAUCUUGACGGUACCUAAUCAGAAAGCCACGGCUAACUACGUGCCAGCAGCCGCGGUAAUACGUAGGUGGCAAGCGUUAUCCGGAAUUAUUGGGCGUAAAGCGCGCGUAGGCGGUUUUUUAAGUCUGAUGUGAAAGCCCACGGCUCAACCGUGGAGGGUCAUUGGAAACUGGAAAACUUGAGUGCAGAAGAGGAAAGUGGAAUUCCAUGUGUAGCGGUGAAAUGCGCAGAGAUAUGGAGGAACACCAGUGGCGAAGGCGACUUUCUGGUCUGUAACUGACGCUGAUGUGCGAAAGCGUGGGGAUCAAACAGGAUUAGAUACCCUGGUAGUCCACGCCGUAAACGAUGAGUGCUAAGUGUUAGGGGGUUUCCGCCCCUUAGUGCUGCAGCUAACGCAUUAAGCACUCCGCCUGGGGAGUACGACCGCAAGGUUGAAACUCAAAGGAAUUGACGGGGACCCGCACAAGCGGUGGAGCAUGUGGUUUAAUUCGAAGCAACGCGAAGAACCUUACCAAAUCUUGACAUCCUUUGACAACUCUAGAGAUAGAGCCUUCCCCUUCGGGGGACAAAGUGACAGGUGGUGCAUGGUUGUCGUCAGCUCGUGUCGUGGGAUGUUGGGUUAAGUCCCGCAACGAGCGCAACCCUUAAGCUUAGUUGCCAUCAUUAAGUUGGGCACUCUAAGUUGACUGCCGGUGACAAACCGGAGGAAGGUGGGGAUGACGUCAAAUCAUCAUGCCCCUUAUGAUUUGGGCUACACACGUGCUACAAUGGACAAUACAAAGGGCAGCGAAACCGCGAGGUCAAGCAAAUCCCAUAAAGUUGUUCUCAGUUCGGAUUGUAGUCUGCAACUCGACUACAUGAAGCUGGAAUCGCUAGUAAUCGUAGAUCAGCAUGCUACGGUGAAUACGUUCCCGGGUCU